rnacentral:guide_RNA from 1 species
AUAUAUAACAACAUAAGACAUCAUAUGCUCGAGAUCUGUGAAUUAAAU